rnacentral:miRNA from 1 species
AGGAUGUCCAGUUAAAUCUCUAUUUCAGAUAAACAAUAAAUAAUUUUUAGUAUAAAUGCAUUUCAUACAAUAUUUUGGACAUACUUAUGCUAAAAAACUACUCUUUGUUUAUCUGAAAUGGAAAUUUAAUUGGAU